rnacentral:rRNA from 1 species
UGCAAGUCGAGCGGACAGAUGGGAGCUUGCUCCCUGAUGUUAGCGGCGGACGGGUGAGUAACACGUGGGUAACCUGCCUGUAAGACUGGGAUAACUCCGGGAAACCGGGGCUAAUACCGGAUGGUUGUUUGAACCGCAUGGUUCAAACAUAAAAGGUGGCUUCGGCUACCACUUACAGAUGGACCCGCGGCGCAUUAGCUAGUUGGUGAGGUAANGGCUCACCAAGGCAACGAUGCGUAGCCGACCUGAGAGGGUGAUCGGCCACACUGGGACUGAGACACGGCCCAGACUCCUACGGGAGGCAGCAGUAGGGAAUCUUCCGCAAUGGACGAAAGUCUGACGGAGCAACGCCGCGUGAGUGAUGAAGGUUUUCGGAUCGUAAAGCUCUGUUGUUAGGGAAGAACAAGUACCGUUCGAAUAGGGCGGUACCUUGACGGUACCUAACCAGAAAGCCACGGCUAACUACGUGCCAGCAGCCGCGGUAAUACGUAGGUGGCAAGCGUUGUCCGGAAUUAUUGGGCGUAAAGGGCUCGCAGGCGGUUUCUUAAGUCUGAUGUGAAAGCCCCCGGCUCAACCGGGGAGGGUCAUUGGAAACUGGGGAACUUGAGUGCAGAAGAGGAGAGUGGAAUUCCACGUGUAGCGGUGAAAUG